UCUUUUCUUUUUUUUUUUUUUUCCCAACAAAUUGCCUAGCUCUCAGGAACAGUCUUGUAAAAAGAGUGAAAAAUGCUCCUAGCUCAAGCCUCCUAAAGACUAAAAAAAAAAAGUUGAAAGCACUUUUGAAACUAUAAACUCUUCUAGAAUUUUAAGAGUAGUACUAGUCUGAAUUUAUCUCAUACAUCUAUUUAUGUUAAAUGGUCAAUGGCAGCAUAGAAACAAACAGAAGACAAUUAUUUAACAGAGACUUUUUCCUUUGAUUUUGAGCAUUUAGUUAAACAGAGGAUUCUCCAGUGAAUAUAUUUUCCAGAUGAGGGUUGGAUCUGUGGAAGACUAAAACCUUGGAUGUUAUACAGGCUAAACUAUAAUGAACUCUAGGAACUGAAAUAUGGUUGCUUUUGUCAUUAUCAAUUACCUUCUAACAGAAUUUCAAUUACAAAAAGAAAAGGCAGAUAGCCAGAGCAAAGGUUGCCCAUACUUAAUCUUAAAAACUUUCAUCACCACCAUCAUUCCAUCACCACAGUGGUCCGCAGGCCAGACAAGAGGCCAUCAGAGAGCCUUCUGCUGUUGACCUGUAGCAACACACUUCCCAGCACAGCUAAGAACACUGACAAGAUUGCAUUUUGAGACUGGUAGAGUGGGAGGAGAAUGAAGAGGAACACAGUUUCUUCUUCCAUUCCACAGCCAGCUAUGAUCCUUACACAAGGCUUUUUGCCCCAUAUACCAUAAAAUACAGCUGCUCUGAGCCUCCAUGGACACAUCACUGUACCAUGGAAGACAGUUCAGAGCCACUGCUAGUUCUGCAUCACUUGGAAAAAGCUCUGUUUAUUGAAAAACAGAGUGUGAGGCAGAAGAGCCACAAGUCUGGUUUGGAUAUGUUGCCUUAAACAGGAACCAGAAAAAAUACAGACACAUAAAUCAGUAUGUAGACAGCCAAGUCACAGAACGUCUGCAUCCUCUUAAAUGAGAUAGAAUAUAUAUCACACCGUGCUGCCUCAGGUCCCAUUAAAAAAAAAAAAAAAAAA
rnacentral:lncRNA from 1 species